GAUGAACGCUAGCGGCAGGCUUAAUACAUGCAAGUCGAGGGGCAUCACAGGUAGCAAUACUGGGUGGCGACCGGCAAACGGGUGCGGAACACGUACAGAACCUUCCUUCAAGUGGGGGAUAGCCCAUGGAAACGUGGAUUAAUACCCAAUAGAAUAUAGAUGUGGCAUCAUGUUUAUAUUAAAGAUUUAUUGCUUGAAGAUGGCUGUGCGUAUGAUUAGGUAGUUGGCGGGGUAACGGCCCACCAAGUCUUCGAUCAUUAACUGGUGUGAGAGCACGACCAGUCACACGGGCACUGGGACACGGGCCCGACUCCUACGGGAGGCAGCAGUAAGGAAUAUUGGUCAAUGGACGCAAGUCUGAACCAGCCAUGCCGCGUGAAGGAUGGAGGUCCUCUGGAUUGUAAACUUCUUUUAUAGGGGGCGAAAAAAGGGUUUUCUAACUCACUUGACAGUACCCUAUGAAUAAGCACCGGCUAACUCCGUGCCAGCAGCCGCCGUAACAC
rnacentral:rRNA from 1 species